rnacentral:rRNA from 1 species
ACGGAAAGGCCCUGCUUGCAGGGUACUCGAGUGGCGAACGGGUGAGUAACACGUGGGUGAUCUGUCCUGCACUUCGGGAUAAGCCUGGGAAACUGGGUCUAAUACCGGAUAGGAGCCAUUUUUAGUGUGAUGGUUGGAAAGUUUUUUCGGUGUAGGAUGAGCUCGCGGCCUAUCAGCUUGUUGGUGGGGUAAUGGCCUACCAAGGCGGCGACGGGUAGCCGGCCUGAGAGGGUGGACGGCCACAUUGGGACUGAGAUACGGCCCAGACUCCUACGGGAGGCAGCAGUGGGGAAUAUUGCACAAUGGGCGCAAGCCUGAUGCAGCGACGCCGCGUGGGGGAUGACGGCCUUCGGGUUGUAAACUCCUUUCGCUAGGGACGAAGCUUUUUGUGACGGUACCUAGAUAAGAAGCACCGGCUAACUACGUGCCAGCAGCCGCGGUAAUACGUAGGGUGCGAGCGUUGUCCGGAAUUACUGGGCGUAAAGGGCUCGUAGGUGGUUUGUCGCGUCGUCUGUGAAAUUCCGGGGCUUAACUCCGGGCGUGCAGGCGAUACGAGCAUAACUUGAGUACUGUAGGGGUAACUGGAAUUCCUGGUGUAGCGGUGAAAUGCGCAGAUAUCAGGAGGAACACCGAUGGCGAAGGCAGGUU